UAGGCAAGCUACUAGUGAGUUUAAAGAUUUUGCUAUCAUUUGGUGGACUGAACUAGGUAACCUUCGCUUACAACCUGACACUUGGGAUAGGUUCAAAGAUGCCAUGCGUGAGCGGUUUGUUCCACCAUCCUACCAGCGUGACCUACAUAAGAAAUUGCAAUGUCUAGAAUAGGGUGAUAUGUCUAUUCAAGAAUAUUAUGCUGAGCUUUAGAAGGGUAUGAUAUGUUGUGGGGUAAUGGAGGAAACUGAGGAUAAAAUUUGUCAUUUUUAUGGUGGGCUAUGGUGUGAGAUUCAGGAUAUUAUUGACUAUCAGGAAUAUACAACUGUCAACCGUUUGUUCCAGCUUGCUAUGCUUGCAGAGAAACAAUUGCAGGGACGCCAACAAUCCAGGAUGUACAGCAACAAUAACCGCACCUUUUCACAGCGUACAUCUACGGGACAAGGACGGACAACGCCUUCUACACUGCCACCUUCGACGACAACACCGCCAGGGGCGACUACACCAACACCUUCGCUUACUGCCGGGGGCAGCAGCUAGCCAGCAGCCGCUGCUGCCGCCGCUACCACCGCUUCUAAGAGCGCUGCCACUUCUUCGUUGAUAGAGAUUCGAUAUCACAAGUGCCAAGGGCUGGGCCAUGUCCGGAGGGACUGCUCUAUCAAGAGGACAUACACCACCACCGCUGACGGAGGCUACAUGAGCACCUCCGAUGUUGAGGAUGAGAUCGACGGUACCGGGGCGACCGACACUGAGGGCACUACCUUUGGCGCCGAGGAUACUGCUGCGUACAGGGCCAUCAUCAUCCAGCGUGUCCUUAGUGCACAAAUGGAGCAAGCGGAGCAGCAACAGCGACACAACUUGUUCCAAAUUUUUUCCGUCAUCAAUAACCGGUGAGCCCGCGUGAUCAUUGACUCUGGUAGCUGCAACUAUUUGGUGAGCAUAGAUUUGGUCAAGAAGCUUGGCUUGACCACUCGUCCACACCCACAUCCAUACCACAUGCAGCGGUUGAAUGAUUCCGGACAGGCUAAGGUAACACAAUUAGUUCGGGUUCAUUUUUCUAUAGGUUCAUAUUCUAAUUUUGUUGAUUGCGAUGUGGUACCGAUGCAAGCUUGUUCUUCGUUAUUGAGUCGUCCAUGGGAAUAUGACACUGAUGCACUUCACCAUGGUAGAAGUAAUAAAUAUACUUUUAUGCAUAAGGACAAGAAAAUUACACUUCUACCUUUGACACCUACUGAAAUUGUUCAAUUUGAUAAGGAACAACUAGCAAAUGAUAAGGAUACAUUUAGUCAUCAAUUUGAAAUUAAAUUGCAUAAUCCUGUCAUGCUUACUACAAAAACUGACCUUGCUGCGAAUUCUAAUGAUAUUGCCUUGUGCUUUGCUUUAGUGUGCACAAAUGCUCUGUUUUCUUUGGAUGAUAUACCUUGUACCAUGCCUCCUGCAGUCACUAACCUUUUGCAGGAGUUUACGGAUGUUUUUCACGUCGAGAUACCUCCAGGCUUACCUCCUAUUCGAGGACCAACCCCGAGGAGACGAAGGAAAUUCAGCGCCAAGUCCAAGAUCUUUUGGACUGUGGGAAAUUGAGGUGGAUGAAGCCAAGGUGCAUGAAAUCAAGAGUUGGCCAACGCCCACGAUGCUCCCACAUGUGCAGAGCUUUCUUGGCCUUGCUGGAUUUUAUCACCACUUUGUGAAGGAUUUCAGCAACAUUGCAGCCCCAUUGAAUGAAUUGAUGAAAAAGGGAGUUGUGUUCCAUUGGGCACAAGCACAGGAGUACGCCUUCAACCUUUUGAAAGAUAAGUUAACUAAUGCCCCGCUUCUACAGCUUCCUGAUUUUAGUAGGACUUUUGAGCUUCAAUGUGAUGCUAGUAGUAUUGGUAUUGGUGGUGUUUUGAUGCAAGAUAGUAAACCUGUUGCUUACUUUAGCGAAAAAUUGAGUGGUCCUAUUUUCAAUUAUUCUGCGUAUGAUAAAGAAUUGUACGCUCUUGUUUGAUUUUUAGAAACAUGGCAACAUUAUCUAUGGCCCAAAGAAUUUGUCAUUUAUUCUGAUCAUGAAUCGCUAAAACAUAUUAGGAGUCAAGUAAAACUGAACCGUAGGCAUGUUAAAUUGGUUGAAUUUAUUGAAUCUUUUCCUUAUGUUAUCAAACAUAAGAAAGGGAAAGAUAAUGUGAAUGCUGAUGCCUUGUCUAGGAGAUAUACCAUGUUGUCCCAACUUGAUCAUUGUAUAUUUGGGUUAGAAUCUAUUAAAGAACAAUAUGUUUUUGAUGGCGAUUUUAAAGAUGUCAUGUUGCAUUGUAGAGAGGGAAGAAUUUGGGAUAACUAUGUGGUAAAUGAUGUUUGUGUUUAGAGCUAACCGUCUAUGCAUUCCAGUUGGAUCUGUUCAUCUUCUUUUGAUGCAGGAGGCUCGUGGAGGCAGAUUGAUGGGUCAUUUUGGUGCGAAGAAGACGGAAGCCGUGUUGUCCGCGCAUUUCUUUUGGCCAAAGAUGAGGCGAGAUAUUGAGAGUUCUACAGAUCCUAACAGCAAGCACAUAUGACUGACAUAAGACCACCACAAUAAUUUCAGCCCAUUUGGAGCAGCUGAGGGUUUAUAAUGAUUCCUACAUGUUCUCAGCCAUCAGUUUUUGUCAUUUUCAUAACAGGAGUCAUACAGUAGUAUUAAAUCCCAAAUUUUUACUACAGGCUUAUAUACUUAUAAAGAUUGUACUAUUAAAAUUUCACGCCAUUUGAAGCGAGUAUGUUGGAGAUACAAAAUUAACAAAUAUAAGCAUGUUCAUUUUGUUAUUUUUGCUACAUAAGUUGCAUACAUGAACAAAGGUCAAUUUUUAUACAGUAAAGGGCGUUGAACCAAUCUGGCAUCCAUACAUGGCUACUAGAGUUUUAAUUUUACUAGCACUAACAUUAAUAGGAGCCAUAGAUGAUUUAGCAUAACUGACACUAUGGCCUGUCGAUCCAGAGAAUGUUCUCGGAAGAGCCUUUAGGAGAAAAGAGUUGUCUACUACCUACUUGUAAUGAAA